CAGGGGUGAAAUCUGGAUCCUUAAUAGCAUCACUCAAUUCAUCCUGUAACUGCUGAAACACUCCUGAUCGUAAGUUUCCAAACCCAUAGUAGCAUGAGGAUUCAAAGCACUUUCUGUUACCUCUUCAUAGGGUGUCUGCUCAAUUUCCCAAUCAAACUCUUCAUCGUGAACUACUUCCUCAGGAAUUUCAGAAUCACCUAUUGCUUCCACAAGUGGUUUUGCUGUCCCGGAUUUUCCUGGUGCCAGAAGAGCAACACAUGUUCAGCCCCUCAAAAUGCUGGCCAGGGGUUUCUUUGGGCAGGGGCAAGUUAUGAAUAAAGUUGAGCCAUAAAUCAAAAGGAUGUUAACUGAAAAAGAAGUCUCAAAGCAGAUGGUGAGAAAGUGAAGACAGAGAGCCUCUGCCCCAGUUCAGGAGGAAUAUUCCGGACCAAACACACAAAGGAAGCAGCUGCUCCUAUCAGUGACAAAUCAGCGUAUUAGAACAUGCAUGCUGGCUGAUCAUUCUGAUCAAGUCAACAAGCUUCACAACUCACUCA
rnacentral:lncRNA from 1 species